CCCGCUGAACUUAAGCAUAUCAAUAAGCGGAGGAAAAGAAACUAACAAGGAUUCCCCUAGUAACUGCGAGUGAAGCGGGAAAAGCUCAAAUUUAAAAUCUGGCGGCUCUUUGCCGUCCGAGUUGUAAUUUAGAGAAGCGUCUUCCGCGCCGGACCGUGCACAAGUCUCCUGGAAUGGAGCGUCAUAGAGGGUGAGAAUCCCGUCUUUGGCAUGGAUCCCUGGUGCUUCUGUGAUGCGCUCUCGAAGAGUCGAGUUGUUUGGGAAUGCAGCUCAAAAUGGGUGGUAAAUUCCAUCUAAAGCUAAAUACAGGCGAGAGACCGAUAGCGAACAAGUACCGUGAGGGAAAGAUGAAAAGCACUUUGGAAAGAGAGUAAAACAGUACGUGAAAUUGUUGAAAGGGAAACGCUUGAAGUCAGUCGUGUCUGCGGGGACUCAGCUUGGCUUUUGCCUAGUGUACUUUCCUGUUGACAGGCCAACAUCAAUUUUGACUGGCAGACAAAGGCCAGAGAAAUGUGGCAGCUUUUGCUGUGUUAUAGUCUCUGGUUGUAUGUGUCAGUUGGGAUUGAGGAAUCCGGUAUGCAAGUACCUGGGAUGUUGGCGUAAUGGCUUUAAACGACCCGUCUUGAAACACGG
rnacentral:rRNA from 1 species